UCCCUGUAAACCAGGGCAGUCCCCCGUGAGUGAUACAACACAGGGUAGGGGUUGCGCUCGUUUGCCCACUGAAGGGAACAUCUCACGACACGAGCUGACGACGACCGUGCAACACCUGUCACUUGGCUCCCGAAGGCACUCCACCGUUUCUGGCGGAUUCCAAGGAUGUCAAGCCCAGGUAAGGUUCCUCGCUUAUUGUCGAAUUAAACCACACGCUCCACCGCUUGUGCGAGCCCCCGUCAAUUCCUUUGAGUUUUAGUCUUGCGACCGUACUUCCCAGGCGGUGCACUUACCGCGUUAGCUGCGCUACCAGCAGGGUCGAUACUGCUAAUAGCUAGUGCACAUCGUUUACAGCGUGGACUAC
rnacentral:misc_RNA from 1 species